UACGAAGGGUGCUAGCGUUGUUCGGAAUUACUGGGCGUAAAGCGCGCGUAGGCGGCUAUACAAGUCAGAGGUGAAAUCCCGGGGCUCAACCCCGGAACUGCCUUUGAAACUGUAUAGCUGGAGUGUGUGAGGGGAUGGCGGAAUUCCUAAUGUAGAGGUGAAAUUCGUAGAUAUUAGGAGGAACACCGGUGGCGAAGGCGGCCAUCUGGCACACAACUGACGCUGAGGCGCGAAAGCGUGGGGAUCAAACAGG
rnacentral:rRNA from 1 species